rnacentral:tRNA from 1 species
GGAAGCGUUCGGGUGUCUGGUGACCCCUGCGGUCUUCAAAACCGACAUGGCCGAGCAUCUCGGCCAUGUCGGUUCGUUCCCGUCCGCUUCCGC